GAACGUUCAGGAAAGGUUUCCUGUGUGAGAGGCACCAGGGCGGUGGGCGUCAUCCAGUCUGUGGGAGGCCUGAAUGAAACAAAAAGACUGAGAGAGAAGGGAUUCUGACUUUCUGUCAUUGAGCGGAGACAUUGGUCUUCUACUGCCUUUGGAGCCAGACUCAGACUGAAGGCAAUUCCCGACAUGGCUGGAUUUAAAUAAACACGGAGACAGCGCACAGAGCACACCCCUCCAGCCGCCGCUCCCUCCUCACACCGAAGCUGGAGGCAGUGCGACCCUCCGCGCAAGGUCCUGUGACACAUUCCGGGGGGUCAU